rnacentral:lncRNA from 1 species
UUGUAAUAUUUCUUGCAGCUACUUUAUGCCAUUGCCCUGGAAACUGAGAACUUCUCAAGCCUUUAAGAAAGUUAUAUUUGAUAGCACCAAGCAACACACAGCAGCAGCAGCAGCAGCAUACUUUCUGAAAUUCCUUCCUACAGUGAUGAAGAAUUUCAAAGCUGACCACUAGGUGGAGGGCAGAUGUCAGAAGGCAAACGGAUUUGCGGGGGAAUCGCAGGCCGCUGAAGACUACCGUGCUUUUUCCUCAAGAGGACAAGACCAAGAAUCACAAGCAUCCUGGCAGGCUAAUAAGCUGGGGCUACUUAUACCAAUUAUCUGUCUACCAUGUACUUCAUGGGUUGAGAAGAACCAGAUUCUGCUUUAAUAAAAAUUGUACUAAAUGGUAUGUGAAAUCCUGGAGCUCUUGGAAUAGUAAAAGGGCAUUAGUGGAAAAACUGGUGAUUCAAAUAAUCUGUAGUUUAGUUAAUAGUGCUGUACCAAUGUCUGUUUCUUAGUUUUGACAAAUGCACCGCGGUUCUGUCAAUAAUAACAUCAGGGGAAACUGGGUGAAGGCUAUAAAGGAAUUGUCUGUACUCUCUUUGCAACUUUUCUGGAAGUCUAGAAUUAUACCAAAUUAAAAUAAAGUAUUUAAAAACUCC